rnacentral:rRNA from 1 species
AUUGAACGCUGGCGGCAGGCCUAACACAUGCAAGUCGAGCGGAUGACGGGAGCUUGCUCCUUGAUUCAGCGGCGGACGGGUGAGUAAUGCCUAGGAAUCUGCCUGGUAGUGGGGGACAACGUUUCGAAAGGAACGCUAAUACCGCAUACGUCCUACGGGAGAAAGCAGGGGACCUUCGGGCCUUGCGCUAUCAGAUGAGCCUAGGUCGGAUUAGCUAGUAGGUGAGGUAAUGGCUCACCUAGGCGACGAUCCGUAACUGGUCUGAGAGGAUGAUCAGUCCCACUGGAGCUGAGACACGGUCAGACUCCUACGGGAGGCAGCAGUGGGGAAUAUUGGACAAUGGGCGAAAGCCUGAUCCAGCCAUGCCGCGUGUGUGAAGAAGGUCUUCGGUUUGUAAAGCACUUUAAGUUGGGAGGAAGGGCAGUAAGCUAAUACCUCGCUGUUUUGACGUUACCGACAGAAUAAGCACCGGCUAACUCUGUGCCAGCAGCCGCGGUAAAAC